rnacentral:tRNA from 1 species
GAUGGUAUAGCUCAAUUGGUAGAACACAUGCUUAGCACGCAUAAGAUCCUGGGUUCAAUCCCUAGUACCUCCU